UACAGAGGUCCCAAGCGUCGUUCGGAUUCACUGGGCGUAAAGGGUGCGUAGGCGGUGGGGUAAGUUUGACGUGAAAUCUCCGGGCCUAACCCGGAAACUGCGUUGAAUACUAUCUCGCUAGAGGAAUGGAGGGGAGACUGGAAUACUUGGUGUAGCAGUGAAAUGCGUAGAUAUCAAGUGGAACACCAGUGGCGAAGGCGAGUCUCUGGACAUUUCCUGACGCUGAGGCACGAAAGCCAGGGGAGCAAACGGG
rnacentral:rRNA from 1 species